ACCCAGGGGUGGGCGGUGACAGAGCCAGGCCUGGGGCAGGGGGGCCCGGGCCGGCCCCUCGCCUCACCAGAGCUGAUGUCCAGGCUCUGGCGGUCCUCCU